rnacentral:tRNA from 1 species
UGAGUUGUGGCUCAGUGGUAGAGCGCUUGCUUGCCUGGCAUGUGUGAGGCACUGGGUUCGAUUCUCAGCACCACAU